CGGCGACGGGUGAGUAAUGCUUGGGAACAUGCCUUGAGUGGGGGACAACAGUUGGAAACGACUGCUAAUACCGCAUAAUGUCUACGGACCAAAGGGGGCUUCGGCUCUCGCCUUUAGAUUGGCCCAAGUGGGAUCAGCUAGUUGGUGAGGUAAUGGCUCACCAAGGCAACGAUCCCUAGCUGGUUUGAGAGGAUGAUCAGCCACACUGGAACUGAGACACGGUCCAG
rnacentral:rRNA from 1 species